rnacentral:rRNA from 1 species
GACGAACGCUGGCGGCGUGCCUAAUACAUGCAAGUUGAGCGCUGAAGGGUGGUACUUGUACCGACUGGAUGAGCAGCGAACGGGUGAGUAACGCGUGGGGAAUCUGCCUUUGAGCGGGGGACAACAUUUGGAAACGAAUGCUAAUACCGCAUAAAAACUUUAAACACAAGUUUUAAGAUUGAAAUAUGCAAUUGCAUCACUCAAAGAUGAUCCCGCGUUGUAUUAGCUAGUUGGUGAGGGAAAGGCUCAUCAAGGCGAGGAUACAUAGCCGACCUGAGAGGGGGAUCAGCCACACUGGGACCGAGACACGGCUCACAACACUCAGGGCGGCAGCAGUAGGGCAUCUUCGUUGAGGGAUGAAAGUCCGAACGGGGAACGCCGCGUGAGUGCAGAAGGGUUUCGGGUCGUAAAAUUUGUGUGGUAAAGCAGAAACUUGGUGAGAGUGGAAAGCUCAUCAAGUGACGGUAACUACGCAGAAAGAGACGGCUACCUACGUG